GACGUAGGGCACGAGCGUUGUCCGGAUUUAUUGGGCGUAAAGAGCUCGUAGGCGGCUUGUCGCGUCGUCCGUGAAAACCUGGGGCUCAACCCCAGGCUUGCGGUCGAUACGGGCAGGCUCGAGUUCGGUAGGGGAGACUGGAAUUCCUGGUGUAGCGGUGAAAUGCGCAGAUAUCAGGAGGAACACCGGUGGCGAAGGCGGGUCUCUGGGCCGAUACUGACGCUGAGGAGCGAAAGCGUGGGGAGCGAACAGG
rnacentral:rRNA from 1 species